rnacentral:rRNA from 1 species
CCUACGGGUGGCAGCAGUGGGGAAUAUUGCACAAUGGGGGAAACCCUGAUGCAGCAACGCCGCGUGAGUGAGGAAGUAUUUCGGUAUGUAAAGCUCUAUCAGCAGGGAAUAGAAAAGAAGGUACCUGAAAAAGAAGCCCCGGCUAACUACGUGCCAGCAGCCGCGGUAAUACGUAGGGGGAAAGCGUUAUCCGGAUUUACUGGGUGUAAAGGGAGCGUAGACGGCCAUGCAAGCCAGGGGUGAAAGCCCGGGGCCCAACCCCGGGACUGCCCUUGGAACUGCAUGGCUGGAGUGCGGGAGGGGCAGGCGGAAUUCCUGGUGUAGCGGUGAAAUGCGUAGAUAUCAGGAGGAACACCGGCGGCGAAGGCGGCCUGCUGGACCGCGACUGACGUUGAGGCUCGAAAGCGUGGGGAGCGAACAGGAUUAGAUACCCCUGUAGUC